rnacentral:tRNA from 1 species
GGGCGCUUAGCUCAGCGGUUCAGAGCACUGCAUUCACAUUGCAGGGGUCGUAGGUUCGAAUCCUACAGCGCCCAUCA